GAUGAACGCUGGCGGCGUGCCUAAUACAUGCAAGUCGAGCGAACAGAUGAGGAGCUUGCUCCUCUGACGUUAGCGGCGGACGGGUGAGUAACACGUGGAUAACCUACCUAUAAGACUGGGAUAACUUCGGGAAACCGGAGCUAAUACCGGAUAAUAUAUUUAACCGCAUGGUUCAAUAGUGAAAGACGGUUUUGCUGUCACUUAUAGAUGGAUCCGCGCCGCAUUAGCUAGUUGGUAAGGUAACGGCUUACCAAGGCAACGAUGCGUAGCCGACCUGAGAGGGUGAUCGGCCACACUGGAACUGAGACACGGUCCAGACUCCUACGGGAGGCAGCAGUAGGGAAUCUUCCGCAAUGGGCGAAAGCUUGACGGAGCAACGCCGCGUGAGUGAUGAAGGUCUUCGGAUCGUAAAACUCUGUUAUUAGGGAAGAACAAAUGUGUAAGUAACUAUGCACGUCUUGACGGUACCUAAUCAGAAAGCCACGGCUAACUACGUG
rnacentral:rRNA from 1 species